GGAUGUGAGGGUGAUAUAGCUUCGACACCUGUCACUCCAUUCAUCUCCAGGGUUGACUGAAUUGAUCUGGCUGGUGAGGUGGGUCUCCCCUUCCUUCCUCAUCACUCCAUGGACUUCCUUCUCAUACUUAUUCACUUGGUUGAAGAGGACAAACUUUCCCAAAUAAAAGUGAACCAUCCCCCUUUCAAGGGUGAGUAGCUAUGCUCCCCUGCUAGAACCUCCAAACAAGCUACAUUGCCAAGAGAAGUUAAAAAAAAAAAAAAAACGGGCUGGAAGAGAUGGCUCAGCGGUUAAGAGUACUGACUGUUCUUCCAGAGGUCCUGAGUUCAAUUCCUGGCAACCACAUGGU
ensembl:misc_RNA 7SK 7SK RNA